rnacentral:rRNA from 1 species
UACGUAGGGGGCAAGCGUUGUCCGGAUUUAUUGGGCGUAAAGAGCGUGUAGGCGGCCAAGCAGGUCAGCUGUGAAAACUCGAGGCUCAACCUCGAGACGUCGGUUGAAACCGCUUGGCUAGAGUCCGGAAGAGGAGAGUGGAAUUCCCGGUGUAGCGGUGAAAUGCGCAGAUAUCGGGAAGAACACCCGUGGCGAAGGCGGCGACCUGGACGGACACUGACGCUGAGACGCGAAAGCGUGGGGAGCAAACGGG